AGUUUUGUAAAAUAACACGUCUAUUUCUAUUUUUCCGUUUCCUGCUGACGACUUGACGCGUGUCGAUCAUCCUCAAUUUAGAAGAGAUUGCUGGAAGGUAGUCGAUUCAUUUUCAUACUUUCAAAGUAGUGACAUACAUUUCAUAAAACCAAUAAAUUUAAAUUCCGAAAAGCUUUCUUAUUUAUAGAAUAUACUUUUCACAGAUGAAGUCAAUUUUGUUUUUGGCCGCUUUGGUGGCAAUCGUUUACUCCGAAGAGUUGGAAGAAUCCAGAGGUCGAAUCCUUGCAUCGAAAUCCGUUUUGAAUAACAUGCUUGUUGAGAGCAGGGAGGUUACUGUUGAAUAUGUUCUAUUUAAUAUGGGCAAAAGCUCGGCUUUGAAAGUUCAGUUGACAGAUAAUACUUUCCCCGCCGAUCAAUUCGAAGUUGUUAGCGGUAGCUUACAGGUUUCUUGGGCUCGUAUCGCCCCAGGAUCAAAUGUAACUCACGUAGUUAUACUUAAACCUAAAAGUGACGGCAUGUUCAACUUUACAUCGGCUGAAGUUAGUUAUUUGGCAUCUGAAAAAGAUACAAAAGAAACCCUGGGUAGUACGUCGGCUCCAGGUCUAGGAAGGAUCAUCGCCUUCCAAGAUUAUGACCGAAAAUACUCGCCUCACUACCUAGAUUGGUUGGCGUUUACUGUUAUGUGCUUACCGUCCUUGGCCAUUCCAUUUAUGCUCUGGUAUAAUUCAAAGUCGAAGUACGAACAGAUCAAGACAAAGAAGAAUUAAAAAGCAAAGAGGAAGAUAUAAUAAUUAAUAUUUAAGACAAAAAAUAAUUUACAAGUAAUUUAAGAGAAAACAAACACCUUUAAAAACACAAAAAAGACAAACUAUUCAUAAAUGGUUAAUUGUUUGAGUUUAUAGAUUGUUUAGGU
rnacentral:misc_RNA from 1 species